UGUGGCUUAAUUUGACUCAACGCGGGAAAUCUUACCGGGUCCGGACACACUGAGGAUUGACAGAUAUAUACCCCGUGAUUUUAUCGCGGGGUUGAAAGAUGCUAGUUCUUUCAUGAUUAUGUGAUAGGUGGUGCAUGGCCGUUCUUAGUUCGUGGAGUGAUCUGUCUGCUUAAUUGCGUAUCAAUAAUAGAGACCUAGUAUACGCGUAGACUCAUGCGGUAGUGACCCCCCUUCACAGGGCGCGUGUCGCACGUAUGUUAUACGCACAGGUCUCCGAUAGCAACGAACGUGACCGUACUCUAUUGUUGCAGCGACAAUACCUUUCAACGGGUAUUACCGCUGCUUAGCAAGAUUCGUCUUGCAUUAAACUAUAGAGACCGCUGUUUCUUCUUUAAACCAGAGGAAGGAUACGGCAAUAACAGGUCUGUGAUGCC
rnacentral:rRNA from 1 species